UAAGAAACUACAGUCAAAAAU
rnacentral:piRNA from 1 species